AGCCACAGUGUGUUUCCAGCUGAGGAACAUUCACGGCUGUACUAACAAGGCUCACUCUGUUGGUUUAUGAAGAGUCGGACUUAGGAACAAUUCUCCUUUAACGGAACUCGUGUUGUUGGCAAUUGAACUCGGGGCCAUCAUGAAUGCCAGGCGAAUGUCCAGCCCUGAGUGACGUGGCUGGCUCAUUUAGGACGACUCUGGAGCUGUGUGUGACCAGGCAGGAAAGGUGUGUGACUGCACUUGGACAGAAGGCUGCCCAGGAGCAACUCUGCUGUUCCCUGUGCGGCCUUGAAGACAGGACAGAAGGUGUCUGAGCCCAGGGACUGCUGCCUGCAGGACUGGUACCCCAGGGAACCGGCUGACUUCCGGAAACUCCGAGGAAGUACUCUGGCUGCUCUUCUCCCAAUACAGUCAGUCACAGACA